rnacentral:rRNA from 1 species
CCUACGGGAGGCAGCAGUGGGGAAUAUUGCACAAUGGGCGCAAGCCUGAUGCAGCCAUGCCGCGUGUGUGAAGAAGGCUCUAGGGUUGUAAAGCACUUUAAGCAGGGAGGAAGGCCAGUUAGUUAAUAUCUGACUGGAUUGACGUUACCUGCAGAAUAAGCACCGGCUAACUCCGUGCCAGCAGCCGCGGUAAU